GUCCAUGCCCUAAACGUUGUCAACUUGAUGUGAGCGGAUUUACUCCCGUUCGUGUCGUAGCUAACGCGAUAAGUUGACCGCCUGGGAACUACGGCCGCAAGGCUAAAACUCAAAGAAAUUGACGGGGGCCCGCACAAGCGGUGGAGCAUGUGGCUUAAUUCGAGGCAACGCGAAGAACCUUACCUGGAUUUGACAUCGAUUGACCGGUGUAGAAAUACACCUUUCCGCAAGGACAUGAAGACAGGUGCUGCAUGGCUGUCGU
rnacentral:rRNA from 1 species